AUUUAUUUGGUAAAACUCAAGCAUUUAACCCACCUCAUUUGUUCUGCCAUUUUUGGAAAAAAAAGAAUAACCCCCCCAAAUCUCAGUUAAGAUUUCAACCCAACUUUGAGGAAGCCGCAAUGGAGGAUCAUCGGCAUUUCUAUGCCUCCGUCUCCAACGCCGAUCACGGCGUGAACCCAGGUGAGUCUCCUUUUUUCUUUUAAAAAAAAACAGUUUAUAAAAUCGAUAGAGAGGGGAAUAAAAAAACAUUAACCGAAAAUCCAAAGAAAAGAAAUAAAAAAACACCUCUUAAGACUGUAAACGGACUUUUGUUGAUGUUCUAUUGCUUGUGUAUUCUGCUGUGAGGGAAAAAAAUGUCCCUUUUACAAUUGCUUUGUUUCGGUUUUAUAGCCGACUCUUUUACAAUCUGUUAUACACGUUUGUAGAUUCCUAGGCGGGUACGCCUCUGACGUGGCUUGGUGAAGGGCGUACGACUUGGAGGAGGCGCGCGACGUGCGGGGGAGGGGCGCUGGGCGUGGGCACGAGCAGCAGCUUGCCUGGGGUUUUCACUUUGCUGGAAAAAAGUUUAAGUUAUUGGGCUAAAAGCUUGGGCUAGGGUUUAGUCUAUUUUUUGUAUUUUGGGCUUAAAGUUGGACUGUUUGAUUCUUUGGUUUGGGAGUUGUGUUUAAUGAAUUGUAUUUUGCGCCGGGUAAAAAUUGAGUCCAACAGUUGCCCCUCAUUGCUCAUUGUCGUGUAACGGGGAUGGAACAAAGACUUCAAAUGGGUCAAUUUUGCCCGGCCUUCGUGAUGCUCUUUUCCUUCAGGUAACAUCAUCUAGCCCACUAUAUCUUCAGGGGUAUAAGAACUCAUCUUCGGUUUGCUCCGCUACAGUUUAGGGGAGAUCUGGCCGAUGGCUAAAAUCUGCUCCAUAGUCGAUAUAUGGAGAUAAGAUCUGUAAUUUUCAGUCUGCUUCCUGCAACUUCAGGAAGAUAAGACUUGCCGUAUUCAGUCUGCUCCACUGCAACUUCAGAGAGAUAAGACUUGUUAUUUUCGAUCUGCUCCAUAGUCGAUACAUGGAGAUAAGAUCUGUAAUUUUCAGUCUACUUCCUGCAACUUCAGGAAGAUAAGACUUGCCGUCUUCAGUCUGCUUCACUGCAACUUCAGGGAGAUAAGACUUGUCAUUUUCGAUCUGCUCCAUAGCCGAUACAUGGAGAUAAGAUCUGUAACUUUUAGUCUGCUUCCUGCAUCUUCAGGAAGAUAAGACUUGCUGUCUUCAGUCUGCUCCACUGCAACUUCAGGAAGAUAAGACUUGUCAUUUUCGAUCUGCUCCAUAGCCGAUACAUGGAGAUAAGAUCUGUAACUUUUAGUCUGCUUCCUGCAACUUCAGGAAGAUAAGACUUGCUAUCUACAGUCUGCUCCACUGCAACUUUAGAGAGAUAAGACUUGUCAUUUUCGAUCUGCUCCAUAGCCGAUACAUGGAGAUAAGAUCUGUAACUUUUAGUUUGCUUCCUGCAACUUCAGGAAGAUAAGACUAGUGGCUAAAAUCUGCUCCAUAGCCGGUACAUGGAGAUAAGACUCGCCAUUUCUGAUCUGCUCCAUAGCCGAUAUAUGGAGAUAAGAUCUGUAAUUUUCAGUCUGCUUCCUGCAACUUCAAGACAAUAAGAUCUACCCUCACCAAUGUUACUACACCGUCUUUUGGGACAUGCCCUGUAGACUCGGUUUCAUGUAUCUAUGCUUAUGCCAAAUAACUAGGAUGCUAUGAUCAAAAUAAUCCAAGUGCUCCUAGCUAGACGUGAUGCUUAUAUCAAAUAAUUAGGAUGCUAUGACUAGAAUGAAUCAAGUGCUCCUAGCUAGAUGUAUUAUGAAUGACAUUGGUAUGAAUGCUGAAUGUCAUGAGAAAUGUCUUCUUUUUCUUUUUCUCUUUUUCCCUUAAGGUUUAAGCUGUUAUUGCUCAUCGUUUUCUCUUGACGUAUUUCCUCUCGUUUAACUGACACAUAUCUGAAGCAGUAGUCUUCACUUAAGCUUUUUACCUCUCAAGUAACUCUGACCCUUAGGUUUGGUGGGUUCUGAAUAAUUGACCUGUUUCGGGUUCUUACACUACUUAGAAACUUCUAGAGUAAUAUGCAGAACCCCUUUUGUGAAAAUGUUAUUAGUCCAUUAACCAAAUAUUUCAACAAAAAAUGCUUGAAGUAGGCUAUCAUAAUGGAUAAGAUGAAACUUUAUUGAGAGCGAAACUCGAGGUAAAAUGUUAAUCAAGACAAUAAAUUUUACUAAGGUACAAAAGAUAUAUGAGAUGGAAAAUAGGUGCCCCAGAUAUAGCAGCGUGAGCUCCUCUAUUCGGACUGUUCGAAAACCCUUGGAGGCCAGAUGUGUGUUUAGGAGGCCCAAGAUAUUUCGUUGAUGCUUUCAAGAUGUAAUGCUCCACCUUCUUGUUAAUUCUAGUAGAACAAGGUCGCAACAUGCCCCAUCCUUGCUCACAAUUUGAGCUGCCAUUUUUUGGGUUUUCAACUCAAAACCCUUUUAGUCUCAAGGCGCCCUUUGCGGGUUUUCACUUUGGCCUCUCCAUUUUUCCUCUUUUUUUUUCAAAGCGCCCUUUGUGGUUUUUCGCCUUGGCCUCUUCUUUUUCAAGCGUAGUACUUCUUAACUGAAUUUGAGUUUAUCGGGUUGGGGAAGCUUUUGCCGUCCAUUUCUACUAAUAUCAGUGCCCCUCUAGAAAAAAGCCUUUUUCACUACAUAAGAUCCUUCCCAGUUUGACAUCCAUUUCCCUCUGAAAUCCUUUUGCAUAGGGAGAAUCUUUUUAAAUACCAAGUCCUCUUCCUGGAAUACUCUCGAGCGAAAUUUCUUGUUGUAAGCUCGCAUCAUAUGCUUCUGGUACAUUUGGCCAUAACGAAUAGCCUUCAGCUUCUUUUCUUCAAUCAAGUUCAGCUGAUCAUACCGGGAUUAGACCCAUUCUGCUUCAUCUAGUUUCAAUUCAGAUAAAACUCGGAGAGAAGGAAUCUCGACUUUAAUAGGCAAAACUGCUUCCAUCCCAUAAACUAAUGAGAAAGGUGUUGCCCCGGUAGAAGUUCUGAUCGACGUUCGAUAAGCAUAGAGAGCAAAUGGUAGCUUUUCAUGCCAAUCCUUGUAAGUCUCAGCCAUUUUUCCCACGAUCUUUUUUAUAUUUUUAUUAGCAGCUUCAACUGCCCCAUUCAUUUUCGGGCGAUAUGGUGAUGAGUUUUGGUGCUUAAUUUUGAAUUGACUGCAGACCUCUAUUAUCACGCUGUUAUUCAAAUUUAACGCGUUGUCAGAUAUAAUCCUCUCUGGCAUGCUAUAUCGAUAUAUGAUUUCUUUUUUCAAGAACUUGCUGACUUCUGACUUCGUGACGCUGGCGUAUGAAGCAGCCUCCACCCACUUGGUGAAAUAAUCAAUAACCACAAAGAUAAAACGAUGUCUGUUAGAAGCCUUCGGUGAAAUCGGCCUAAUGACGUCCAUGCCCCACAUUAAGAAAGGCCAUGGGGAAGUUAUGACAUGAAGAGGAGAAGGAGGCACAUGGAUCUUGUCACCAUAAAUUUGACACUUAUGACAUUUCUUGGCAUAGUUAACGCAAUCUCCUUCCAUUGUAGACCGGUAAUACCCGAAUCUCAUGAUUUGCCUGGCCAUUGUAAACCCAUUGGCAUGCGUCCCGCAGACACCUUCAUGGACUUCUUCCAGGAUUUUCUUUGCUUCAACAGCAUUAACACAUCUUAGCAGUACUUGGUCCUUUCUUCUUUUAUACAAGAUUUUACCGCCUAAGACAUAGUCACCGGCCAGCCUCCUCAAUGUUCUUUUAUCAUUUUCGGUUGCCUGAUCAAGAUAUACAUGAUUUUUCACAGAUCGAAGAAUAUCCUGAUACCAAGGAUGAUCAUCCCUCUCCUCCUCCUCGUCGAUACUAUAGCAAUGAGCUGGAGCAUCACAAAUACCCAUCUGGAUCGGCUUCAUAUCCUCUUGUUUAUUCACUCUAAACAUGGAAGCUAACGUAGCCAGGGCAUCAGCCAUCUGAUUUUCAUCACGUGGGAGAUAGUAAAAAGUGAUAUCAUCAAACACCUUGAUUAAGUCCAGAACCAGUUCUUGGUAAUUGAUUAACUUUGAGUUUCUUGUUUCCCAUUCACCCUUGAGCUGAUAGAUCACUAGUGCGGAAUCCCCAUACACCUCUAACACCUUGAUUUUGCGUUCUACGGCUGCACGGAUGCCCAUGAUACAUGCUUCGUACUCUGCCAUAUUAUUUGUGCAAUCAAAAUCCAAUCUGCAAGUAAACGGAUAGUGAUCUCCAUUUAGGGAAAUCAAGACUGCCCUAAUUCCAUUACCAACAGCAUUUGAUGCUCCGUCAAAAUUCAGUUUCCAGGGGCAAUCUUCUAGAGUGACUGCCACAUACAUUAGAUCUUGAUUGGGAAAAUCAAAGUUUAAGGGCUCGUAAUCUUCUAAAGCUCUACUGGCUAGGAAAUUCGCUAUUACACUUCCUUUUACAGCCUUCUGGUUCACAUAAACUAUGUCGAACUCAGAAAGUAGAAUUUGCCAUUGGGCCAUCCUUCCAUUUAGAGCGGCUGACUUCAUCAUGUACUUAAGAGGAUUUAAUUUCAAGAUUAACCAAGUCGUAUGGUACAACAUGUACUGCCUUAAUCUCCGAGGUCCAGACAAAAAACAUAACAUAGUUUCUCAAUUGGCGGAUACCUUGUCUCACACUCAGUGAAUUUCUUACUGAGGUAGUAUAUCGCAUUUUCUUUCUUUCCUGUCUCAUCGUGUUGGCCCAGUACACAUCCCAUUGAGUGGUCAAAUAUUGUCAAAUACAAUGUUAAUGGUUUACCCGGGUUGGGUGGUGUUAACACUGGGGGAUUAGACAAAUAUUGUUAACUCUAUCAAAUGCCUUCUGGCACUCUUCAUCCCACACACCUGGGUUAUGUUUCUUGAGAAGACGAAAUAUGGGAUCGCAUUUUUCAGUUAGUUGCGAAAUAAAUCGGGCAAUGUAAUUUAAUCUUCCCAGAAAACCUCGAACUUCCUUUUGAGUGCGUGGCGGGGGCAAUUGUUGUAUAGCCUUGACUUUGUCGGGGUCAACCUCGAUUCCUUUUUCACUGACAACGAAACCGAGCAGCUUUCCUGAUCUAACCCCGAAAGUACAUUUUGUCGGAUUGAGUUUUAGCUGGAACUUUCUCAGCCUCAAGAACAAUUUCCUCAAAACCUAUAUGUGCUCCUCCUCUGUUCGGGAUUUUACAAUCAUAUCAUCGACAUAAACCUCAAUCUCCUUAUGCAUCAUGUCGUGAAACAAGGUCACCAUGGCUCUUUGAUACGUUGCUCCUGCAUUUUUUAACCCGAAUGACAUCACCUUAUAGCAAAAUGUUCCCCACAAUGUUAUGAAUGUGGUCUUUUCCAUGUCUGCAGGAUGCAUCUUUAUCUUAUUAUAUCUAGAAAAACUAUCCAUGAAAAAGAAUAACGAGUAACCCGCCGUAUUAUCCACCAGCGUGUCGAUAUGGGGCAACGAAAAAUUGUCCUUUGGGCUGGCCUUGUUUAGGUCUCUGUAAUCCACACACAUUCGCACUUUUCCAUCAUUCUUUGGGACAGGGACAACAUUAGCAACCCAUUCCGAGUAAUUCACCACUUGCAAAACCCAGCGUCGAAUUGCUUCCUGACCUCUUCCCUUAUUUUUACUGCAACAUCGGGUCUCAUCCUUCGAAGCUUCUGUUGAACAGGCUUGUAUUCUUUUUUUAUAGGGACUCGAUAUACUGCAAUGUCGGCACUUAACCCAGGCAUGUCUUAAUAUGACCACGCGAUAAUACGACCACGCGAAGACAUCUUUGAACUCUUGUAGCAAUUUAAUGAGGUCUCGCCUUACUUCCUCAGUUAUGCAAGUUUCGAUUUUCACUUCUUUCCCUUAUUCCAAAAUCACAUUUUCGGUCGUCUCUUUGUGGGGUAGAAUUUGUUUCUCUUCCCGUUCUACCAUCCUUAACAAAUCCAGAGAUAACCCACAUUCUUCAUCAUCUUCAAAAUCUUGAGAUUCCUCUAAACACAUAUCUGGCUCGAAAAGAGAUUUUGAGUCCGUAACGGUGCUGUUCGUGACGUCGAUAUUUGGAGACUAUUAUAACAAAAAAAAUAUCCAAAGAAUAAAUCUAAGGGUGGCUUAUUUGUAUGGCAUGAUUAUGAAUAUGCUGAGAAUAUGAACAAAAAGAUUUGCUCAGAAUGAAACACAAAAGAUGCAUUUUUUAUUGAAAACAAAGGUGUUCGAACAUGAGCCUAUUUCACAAAAUAUUCUUAUUGUUUCUAGGCUUAAAACAAUAAGUGUGUUCUGAAUAUUACUCUAUAUUAUCUCUAAGAACUACAGGAAUUUCCUCUGCAGUUCAGUUAUUUAGGACACUUCCAAGCUCAUAAGGGCGGAUGCCUGAUAAGUUUCCUUCUAUCGCCAUCUCCUCCAAUAUGACGUUAAUGCUUAAACUUCCCAUCACCUCUUCAACUGCCUCUUCUCUUGUCCUCUCUGACUUAAGAUGAAUAAUUUCUCCUGACACAAAUAUAUUGGAUAUAUGGGGGAAAGUUAUUGGCUCCCAUUUAACCUCUGCCCCACUCAAUCGUGCCCUUUGUCUCUCAUUUUUCCUCACUAGCUCCUCCUUUUCUGUUUGGCGUUCGGCCUAUGUCCCAAGCCAAAACGAUCCUAUUUUCCAACUAAAACCGGUACUUCGACUCGUCUGUGGAAGUAUUUUUCGAGCUCCAUUCCAGGCAAUGCUCCUUUUCCUACCAUCAAUUGUAAGCUCUUCCUUGUAGCUUCAGAUAACUCUGGCGUUGGAAUCUUGCCUCCUUCAAUAAUGAAAGUUGCGUUUACGAACUCUAAUGACCGGAAAGCAUAUUAAAUUGCUUCAUCAUCACUCUCGAUGUAUGGCGUAUCACUAGCAACGGGUGCGAUAAUGUCUUUCUCUGCGUUUACGGUUAUCAGCUGACCCUCCGUUACUAGCUUCAGCCUCUGGUGCAAUGAUGAUGGUACUACUCUUGCUGAAUGAAUCCAAGGCCUCCCCAAUAAACAAUUAUAAGAAGGCCUGAUGUCCAUCACGAGAAAGUCUACCUCAUACGUGUUAGGUUCGAUCAGAAGAGGGAUCUCAAUCCUACUCAUUACUUUCCUCUCGGUGCCAUCAAACGCUCUCACUAUGUUCUGACACAUCUUCAUGUGAGAGCUAUCUAUGAGUAACCUGCUCAAUGUGGAUAGGGGCAAGACAUUUAGCGCCGAUCCAUUGUCAAUCAAUACCCCCGGUAAUGUAUACCCUUUGCAUCGGGUAGUGAUGUGCAGAGCCUUGGUGGACCCCAUGCCAUAUGGCGGUAUUUCAUCAUCACUGAAAGAAAUAAAGUUAUCAGCACUAAUAUUGUUGACGAGUCGGUUCAGUUUGUUCACUGAGAUGUCUUCAGCAAUAUAGGUUUCAUUCAACACCUUCAUCAACGCAUUACGGUGUGCCUCCGAAUUUUGAAGCAAAGCUAGUAUCGAGGUGCGAGCUGGCUGCUUGUGCAACUGCUCCACAACACUAUACUCACUGUGUUUUAGAAACUUCAAAAAUUCUUUAGCUUUAUCUGCUGUUACUGGCUCAUUAACCAGUGGUUUUGUUCUUCCCUCCCAUCGUUUCGACAUUAAAGACUUCUCUUUUACAGGCUCAACUUUCGUAUCUGGUGUGCUGGCCAACCUUCUCUCUCCUGGCAAUGUCACAUUACAAUUAUAACUCCAAUGCACCCUUUUGUUAUCCUUGUAAGGAAAAGCCGCCGGUUUUUAAAUCACCACUUUUGGCAUCAUUUUUGCUCCAGCUUUAUUUGUUCUCGGUCGUGAAAUGAUCACCACUGGGUGAUUGACUUCACAGACCUUCUUUAUUAGCCCAUUCUCUAAGGCGCACACAUGUUUCUCUUCAGCGAACUCGAAAAACUCCAUCUCCUUGUUGUCCAUUAAACCCUGUACCAGGGCCCUGAAUCCGUUACAUGUUUCUAUCUCAUGGUCCUCCUCACCGUGAAACUCACAAUAGUUCCCCACUUCUCGAGACUUGCUCCCAAAGUCUUGUAUGAUUAGACCUCUUUCUACCAUCUUUUUUAGAACCUCCCUCAUCGAGGUUCUCACCUCCGCUAUAUCCAACUUAACUCUCCUUCCCAUAUUUUCGUUUACCGCGUUUAUCCCAUUAACGGUAUGAUUAGGUAACGGGUUUCCUGCGCUAGGCACCUCAUCAAACUUGACAACACCUACGUUAAUGAGCCUUUCGACCACUCUUUUAAAAGAGGUGCAAUUCUCGAUCGAGUGUCCUAUAAUACCCGCAUGAUAUUCAUAUUGGGCACUUGCAUCAUACCACUUGGGAUACGGGGGCUGCAACGGUUUUAAAUAGAACGGGGAUACAUGUGUAUUGAAUAAAUUUUUUUACAACUCCCGAUACGUUAUUGGAAUAGGAGUAAACUGGGGCUUCUCCGUAUUCCGCUUUGUAUUGGGUUCCUGUCUUGACGAAUCUUACUGGCCCACGACCAUCAUUUUUGGUUGAUUAACCGUGAUUGGUUUUACAUGUCCCAUGCUUACAUUACCGACCUCAUUUUCUCUCUUUUUCGGGGCUGACCUUCUGGCGCUCUCCCCAGUCUCUAUCUUUUUACUCCUUAUCGCGUUCUCAAUCAUUUCACCGAACAUUACUAUGUCCGUGAAACUUUUUAUCGCGCCUCUCUGCAUGUGAUUGAUAAAAGGUACCUUCAAAAUAUUAAUGAAAAGCAUGGUCGUCUCUUUUUCUAAGAGCGGCGGUUGAACUUGUGUAGUGACUUCCCUCCACCUCUGAACAUACUGUCUGAAACUCUCAUUUGACUUUUUCUCUAUAUUCUGUAGCGUGAUCUGAUCGGGCGCUAUGUCCAUCACAUGACCAUAUUGUUUCAUGAAGGCCUGUGCUAGGUCUUUCCACGAUUUAAUUUAGGUACGACUCAGCUGAUUGUACUAUUUGGCUGCAGCCCUACUCAGACUAUCCUGGAAACAGUGAACGAGCAACUAAUCAUUAUUGAUAUGACCAGUUAUCCUCCGACAAAACAUCGUGAUGUGGGCCUCAGGGCAGCUGAUUCCAUUGUAUUUCUCAAACUCCGGCAUUUUGAACUUCGGAGGGAGCACUAGAUCCGGAACCAAACUCAACUCUUUAGCAUCCAUAUCGCAUUGAUAAUCUGCAUUUUCCAGCGCCUUAAAUUUCUCUUCCAGCCAUUUGUAUCGGAGUUCCAGCUACUCUGGGAGUUCUCCUUUUGCCUUCCCUACCUCUUCCAUCUCAUCAAAGUCGGGGACCGAAGGAUUUACCCGAUUAUCCUUGGGUUUAGAACACGAGCCCCUCGAGAAAUUCAUUGGUGCCGAAAUACCUGCCUGAUAUUGGGGUUUGACAUUAACAGACACCCUUUGAGGUGGUACUGGGGUAUGCACUAGGGUAAAACCUGGAGGGUAAGUAAGGAUCUCGCUAUCACCAUCUGGGUUGACUAUAGGGCUCUUCCUUUUUCCUGGCCCUCCGAGCAACAACUGACUUAGCUGAUUCAUCAUGUCCUUCUACGACUCUUGCAUCUGAUCUUUAAUAUCUUGCGGAAUCUUGGCCAGUUGCUCUUGCAUCUGUGCUUGCAGCCGUUCCUGCAUUUCACUCUGCAUUUGUUCCAAUUUUUCCAGCCUUUGAUCCAUAGCUUUAGUUUUUUUGCGCCUGUAGUAUUGAUGUUCCAGGGUAACUAUAAUAUAAUUUUAAAUUAAUUAAGAGUUUUUUUGAAACUUAAUGCACGUGAUGCGAUGAAAUGCAAAUGUAUGAAAUGAAUGCAAAACUAAAAGGGCGUCGAUUAUGAUCCAAUUCCAUUUAGAAACUUUCUUAAAAAAUAAAAUCUUUUACAUAAAAUAGACUAUAUAUACGACUUUGCCCUAAUACUCAAAGUUUUAACUUUAUCAAGAAGGCAAGCCAACUCACGACCCCAGUCCGACUCUAACUCAUACUUCACACUUAGCACAUCAGCCUGAACUGCUAAAGUCUGUAAAUAAUUAGCCACUGAUCGAAUCUGUGCCACGGCUUCACUUAUGAUAUGAUCUCUAUCCCUGACCUGGUCCUGCGAUCGACGAAGUUGUUCAUUCAAUUGUUCAUUAUUCGACUCGAGGAAUUCAAUUCGAUGCUCACAGUUCUGUAAUGCGCCCUUAAGCUCUUCUACCCUUCCUUUCAAAUCCUCGAUCCUGCUUAAGCUUGCCUUUAAUUCAAUGCCCAAGUUAUGACCACGACUUUGAUGCAACACCCUUUCUAAUUCCGCUACCCGAGCUGCUAAUAUCUGCCUCUCAUCUUGGCCUUCGAUCAAACUCUUCCUCAAGGCGCUUUCCCGUGUUCGAGCAUCGUGGAACCUCUUCUUCCACUGAUCAGCUCUGGCCUUUUCCUCUUGAACUUCUUGUUGCCACUGCUCCGAUGUCUUUCCCAAUCCAGCUGUUCUCAUUGACAUAUGCAGCUUUUUGUAAUCAGUCUUCAAACCGUCCAAGUCCUCUUCGGGCUUUCUCUUUCCCUUUCUUAACUUCUCGGCCUCGCGUUUCUGAACAUCGACAUCUAACCUCAAAUGCACUUUUUCUUCUUCCAACUGCUCUAUCUUCUUCCUUAACUCUGAAUUUCUUUCAUCGAAGUCUUGCUUGAUGAUCUCUAGCUCGGAAGGAAUUACUUGUAGGUAUUCAUCCAUCGAUUUGACGUCUCCUAACAUUGGCUGAGGGAUAUUAUCAUUGGUCUUUCUAUGCAACCACCCCUCAUAUUUCGGGGUUGUCAUUGAACCUACCGCCAACCUCUUCAUCUGACAUGUCUGUCUCCAAGCAUCGGUAAUCUCUUGGAUUCUCUUCUUAUAAUGGCUCCUCCUAUAUGAGAACUCACUCUGAGCUAACCCAUGCGUUAUCGGUACAAACUGUCUCGAUCUAUAUUGCCUUAACAUGAGCAAUGGGGCAAAUCCAAUAGCUCCCCAAAUUCCAAGCAGAUGUACCCAAUCAAAACUACCACACCGAUAGAAGAUCUCAUCAGGAACUAACCAGGGAGCUUUCCACUCGACGCCUUCUUCUUGGAGAUUUCAAAUGAGCGCGAUCCAAUUCUCCUCUGAUAUAUCGUCUCUCCUGGGUGUGGCUGUUAUCUCCUUUAGUGGGGAAUAAUUCUCGGAGAAAACCCGAUAAGAAACUUUAUCCACCUUCCAGAAAUGGCUAUGGAACCAUAUUGACAAUAACUGCGCGCACCCUAUAAAUCUGCCUUCGCCUGCCUUCCGACAUGCACUCAAGGACCUAAACGUCUCACCUAGAAUUACCGGCACCGGUGUGGCUCCUUUGCCAAGCCGAUCAAAUAAAUCGGCUAGUGCUUCGUCUACAUGCCUUAGAGCUUUGGGGAAAAUUACCAAACCAUAGAUACUCAAGGCGAAUAUGUCCACCCUCUUCUUUAUGUCUGGCUGUGCUACGAUCAGAUCUCUCAAACACACCCAGGGAAUACAUUUACCCUCACCUUUUUGCUGUAUUCGGGCAGCAACCCACUGUUCACUCAUUCCGGUGAUACUCAUCAAUUUCUUUAUAAAAGGUUGGGCAUUAGCAGCCCUAAAAUACACUCUAUCGUUUUGAACCUUUGGACAAUGAAGCAAAGCUGUAUACUCCUCCACAGUAGGCACCAAGUCCACCUUUCCAAAAGUGAAACAACUAUACGCAGGAUUCCAAAACUGAGUUAUGGCCCGGAACAAGUUAUUGUCUACCUUAAUGUCAAGCAGCUAAGGUAGGUCACCAAAAUUUUGGUAAAAUAGUUGCUUAGUCUCAUCGCCCUAACUAUCCCAUAUAUCCCUCAAUUCUUGGACCUCAUUCUGUGUCACAUUGAUCCAGGUGAAGUCCCAUAACUCUGAUGUAUACCCUUCAGCCAGGCUAUCCCCUUUCUCAAUUUGCAUCUUCUCUGACCAUAUACGGACAGCCGCAUUAUCUUCUACUUUAUCAAGGAAUUCGUUCUCCAUAGCAAGCUUUCUAACUUAGUAAUUGAAUAAGAAUCGACACAUCCCUAAAGAUGGAAUGAUAUGCAAUCAAAACACAACGAGUUAGUACCGGAUAAUAAAAUCCAAAAAAAUAGAGAAUAAUUAAACACUUAUCUUGGUACCACUAAAGUUAAACAUAGCUAUAUCUAGGGUAGAUCCCUAGGGUUCACUAUAUGUGGUUCAGUUCUAAAGAAAAGAGUACCCGAACCAGCAGAUUCCUCAACUUUCACCCAUUAUAGGCUCAUACGGAUCGAGUUCGGUUCAGGGGAAUACAUUUCUCUAUGGCCAUGCGGAGGUGAAAACCUCACGAAGACAUAGGUACGAAUGUUUCUCAGAAGCAGUCCACUAGCCCAUGCGGAGGUGAAAACCUCACGAAGGCAUAGUUUCUCACUUCCAGUUAAAGGGUGUGACCACGUUGGUCAUGCAAUAUGUAAUGCAGUAAAAGGAUUGUAUGCUAAAAAUCAAAUUUUAAAUUUUCGACAGAAGGACAGAAAAUAAUCAAUUUUACAGCUUAACUCUCUUAUUGGUCCCCAGUGGAGUCGCCAAGCUGUCGAAACCAUUUUUAUUUUGAAAAAUGAAGGUCGACUUUAAAACGAAAAUGGAGUCGCCACUAAUCCUUUUUGUUUAGGUGUGAUCGGGUCACCUUGUGAUCGAUCAUUUUAAUAAAGUAUUUCGAUUUUUUAAAACAACGUUUUUGGUCUACGAAAAACUAGAAAAUGGAUUCGGGAGUCAGUUACGUGCGAGGAAGGAUUAACACCCUCGCAAUGCCCAAAAUUGGUACCGUAUUGAUCAAUUUACGUCCUAAUGUUGAAGCUUUGAAAAAGAGUUUAAAAAACAAUUCCUUUAAAACAUUUGGAUAACUUGAAUUGAAUAUUGAGACUCUCUUGCUUAGAAGGAAUAAAAUAUUACGUCCAGCACGAUUGGAUACAAUAUUUCGAACCCUUGACACAAUAUCAUCUCAGGAUUUUCCAAAACACAUGCACUUAAAACUUUUAAAAGGAUAUUUGACUAUUUGGCCCAAACGGUAAACCGAAACCCAGCACGAUUGGGCGCGAUUUAUCGAAUUUUCAAAUACAAAACAUUGCCACAUUUUAAAUUGAGAAAACAUGGAUGAAAUUUCAAAAGGAUAUUCUGUAUUUUAGUCGAAUGAAAAAUCGAAACCCAGCACAAUUGGGCAUGACCUCCCAAACUUCCAAGCACGAAAUAUUACCUCAUUUUAUUUUAAGAAAGCGUGGAUGAAAUUUCAAAAAAGGAUAUUCCAUAUUUUACUCGAAUGGAAAAUUGAAGCCCAACACGAUUGGGCACGACUUCCCAAACUUCCAAACACGAAAUAUUACCUCGUUUUAUUUUAAGAAAAUGCGGAUGAAUUUAAAAAAAAGAUAUUCCAUAUUUAGUCGAAUGAACAAAACGAAACCUAACACGAUUGGGCACGAUCUCUCAAACUCCCCAAAUAGGAAAUAUUGCCUCCUUUUAAUUUUUUAAAAAGCAUGGACGAAAUUUCUAAAGGAUAUUCUGUAUUUUAGCCGAAUGAAAAAUUGAAGCCCAGCACGAGUGGGCACGGCCUCCCAAACUUCCCAACACGAAAUACUGCAUUAUGCUGAGAGGGUUUUUUUGAAACAUGAAUGGUUAUAAAAACGGAGGAGCAUAUUUAUAAGAUUUAUUUGAAAAUGGAAAAAAAAAUGAACAAUUUGAAACAAACAAUUAAUAUUAUAGCUCACCCUUCAUCGACUGUAAUGAAAAAAGUACAAAUAUAAAAAUUAAAAUGCAUAAAACAACAAUAGGCAAGCAGGCAAUGUAUAAAUAUUUAUGCACAAAUAUAAAAUUUAUUAUAUAAAUGAAUUUCAAAACAAAGAUUAUAAGAUAAAAUUUAACAUAAAUGCAAUACAAAACAAUUUACAACUAAAAUUAGUAAGAAUAUGACAUCAAUUAUGUACAUAAAAAAAAAUUGCAACAUAUGCUAGGCCAAAUUUUAAGCAAAUAAUAUGCAUACCAGACGGGAUAAAUGAAUUAUUAGUACCAUAAAAAAAUGCUAACGAAUAUAUAUGAAUUACAAUCUAUAUAAUAUAAAAUCAAUAAGACAAAAAAAUGUUUGUUAACAACUUAUAAUGCACAUAAAGUAAAACUUAAUGAGUAUAGUAUAUAAAAAUAAUGAAUAAUAGUGUUUUUCUUUUAAAAAUAAAUAUAUAGUAAAAUAGGAGUUUUAGAAGAAAUAAAUUGUAUAUAAGAAAAUUUAAAAAUUACGAAGUAAAACAAUUUUUUUUAAAAAAUAAAAUAUUUAAAAUAGAUAAAUAAAAAAAGUAAAAGAAUUUUAAAAACUAAAAAAGAACUCUAUUGAAACAAAAACAAAAUCUAGAGGAUAGUUUUAAACAAAUCAAAUUAUUAAAACAAAAUCAAGGACUUGAACUAGAUACGCACAAACAAGUAGGAACUAAAAAUGUAAAUUCCCCAAGUCCCAAAGCGCUGCAUCUAGGCGUGGACUAAAUUGGAAUAACACGCAAAAUCUAGGGAUGAAUUUAAAAAAUCGAAGAAAGAAUAAGCAGAGCCCAAUUGAUCCCUAGCACGAAGGGGGGGGACUCAACACACAAAUUACCCAUUUUGAGCCAAAGUGUAUGGGUCCAGCGCCAAACGGUGCUAUUUCAAUUGCCAUUUAAAACAAAAGCCAUUGAAUGGCAUUUAUUUGGUAAAACCCAAGCAUUUAACCCACCUCAUUUGCUCUGCCAUUUUUGGAAAAAAAAAGAAUAACACCCCACGCCCCCCCCAAAUCUCAGUUAAGAUUUCAACCCAACUCUGAGGAAGCCGUAAUGGAGGAUCAUCGACAUUUCUAUGCCUCCGUCUCCAACACCGAUCACGGCGUGAACCCAGGUGAGUCUCCUUUUUUCUUUUAAAAAAAAACAGUUUAUAAAAUCGAUAGAGAGAGGAAAAAAAACAAACAUUAACCGAAAAUCCAAAGAAAAGAAAUAAAAAAAACACCUCUUAAGACUGUAAACGGGCUUUUGUUGAUGUUCUAUUGCUUGUGUAUUCUGCUGUGAGGGAAAAAAACGUCCCUUUUACAAUUGCUUUGUUUCGGUUUUAUAGCCGACUCUUUUACAAUCUAUUCUACACGUUUGUAGGUUCCUAGGCGUAUACGCCUCUGACGUGGCUUGGUGAAGGGCGUACGACUCGGAGGAGGCGCGCGACGUGCGGGGGAGGGGCGCUGGGCGUGGGCACGAGCAGCAGCUUGCCUAGGGUUUUCACUUUGCUGGAAAAAAGUUUAAGUUAUUGGGCUAAAAGCUUGGGCUAGGGUUUAGUCUAUUUUUUUGUAUUUUGGGCUUAAAGUUGGACUGUUUGAUUCUUUGGUUUGGGAGUUGUGUUCAAUGAAUUGUAUUUUGCGCCGAAUAAAAAUUGAUUCCAACAAUGAUAAUCACCAUUUUUUUAAUAUUUUUUCUUUAAAACAAAUACUUUUAAAUUUUAAUCCAUUAUUUUUUGUUGGCAUCUAAUAUAUAUAAUUUUAACCAUUA
rnacentral:lncRNA from 1 species